GAUGAACGCUGGCGGCGUGCCUAAUACAUGCAAGUCGAGCGAACAGACGAGGAGCUUGCUCCUCUGACGUUAGCGGCGGACGGGUGAGUAACACGUGGAUAACCUACCUAUAAGACUGGGAUAACUUCGGGAAACCUGAGCUAAUACCGGAUAACAUGUUGAACCGCAUGGUUCAACAGUGAAAGACGGUCUUGCUGUCACUUAUAGAUGGAUCCGCGCCGCAUUAGCUAGUUGGUAAGGUAACGGCUUACCAAGGCAACGAUGCGUAGCCGACCUGAGAGGGUGAUCGGCCACACUGGAACUGAGACACGGUCCAGACUCCUACGGGAGGCAGCAGUAGGGAAUCUUCCGCAAUGGGCGAAAUCCUGACGGAGCAACGCCGCGUGAGUGAAGAAGGUCUUCGGAUCGUAAAACUCUGUUAUUAGGGAAGAACAAAUGUGUAAGUAACUAUGCACGUCUUGACGGUACCUAAUCAGAAAGCCACGGCUAACUACGUG
rnacentral:rRNA from 1 species